rnacentral:misc_RNA from 1 species
AAAGUCGUAACAAGGUUUCCGUAGGUGAACCUGCGGAAGGAUCAUUACCUGGCCUUGGGCCGCUCGCGGGAGCUAGUCGCUUGCGACGACGCUGCUGACGGCGCUUAGCCCUUGACUAUCCCCUUGACUACGUGCACCUUUUGUUGUUUCCUCGGCAGGGUAUCUGCCGCUAGGAACCCCCUAAACCUUUUUGCAAUAGCAUCCAAACUACUGAAAACAAACCAAAUUAUUUACAACUUUUAACAAUGGAUCUCUUGGUUCUG